UACGGAGGGUGCAAGCGUUAUCCGGAUUCACUGGGUUUAAAGGGUGCGUAGGUGGGUAAGUAAGUCAGUGGUGAAAUCUCCGGGCUUAACCCGGAAACUGCCAUUGAUACUAUUUGUCUUGAAUACUGUGGAGGUCAGCGGAAUAUGUCAUGUAGCGGUGAAAUGCUUAGAUAUGACAUAGAACACCAGUUGCGAAGGCAGCUGGCUACACAAAUAUUGACACUGAGGCACGAAAGCGUGGGGAUCAAACAGG
rnacentral:rRNA from 1 species